rnacentral:rRNA from 1 species
AGACCCGAAACCCGGUGAUCUAGCCAUGGGCAGGUUGAAGGUUGGGUAACACUAACUGGAGGACCGAACCGACUAAUGUUGAAAAAUUAGCGGAUGACCUGUGGCUGGGGGUGAAAGGCCAAUCAAACCGGGAGAUAGCUGGUUCUCCCCGAAAGCUAUUUAGGUAGCGCCUCGUGAAUUCAUCUCCGGGGGUAGAGCACUGUUUCGGCUAGGGGGCCAUCCCGGCUUACCAACCCGAUGCAAACUGCGAAUACCGGAGAAUGUUAUCACGGGAGACACACGGCGGGUG